GGGUUAGUAGGUUGGUCAUGCCUCUGGUAUGUACUGGUCUCACUGAUUCCUCCUUCCUUAUGAACCGUAAUGCCAUUAAUUUGGUGUUGCGGGGAAUUUGGACUGUUACUUUGAAAAAAUUAGAGUGUUUAAAGCARGCUAACGCUUGAAUACAUUAGCAUGGAAUAAUGAAAUAGGACGUUCGAUCUUAUUUUGUUGGUUUCUAGGAUUGACGUA
rnacentral:rRNA from 1 species